rnacentral:rRNA from 1 species
UACAGAGGUCUCAAGCGUUGUUCGGAUUCAUUGGGCGUAAAGGGUGCGUAGGUGGCGUGGUAAGUCGGGUGUGAAAUCUUGGAGCUUAACUCCGAAACUGCAUUCGAUACUGCCGUGCUUGAGGACUGGAGAGGAGACUGGAAUUCAUGGUGUAGCAGUGAAAUGCGUAGAGAUCAUGAGGAAGACCAGUGGCGAAGGCGGGUCUCUGGACUGCAACUGACACUGAGGAACGAAAGCCAGGGGAGCAAACGGG